GCAUAGCGCAGUGGAUUAGCGCGUUUGACUUCGGAUCAAAAGGUCGCGGGUUUGCCUCCCACCAAUACU
rnacentral:tRNA from 1 species